rnacentral:misc_RNA from 1 species
GUAGGUGAACCUGCGGAAGGAUCAUUAACACGUAUCCACGUUAUAAACCCUUCGUGCUUUUUUAUUAGUACCUGCCUUCAGCGUGCGGACCCUUUGGAUUGCAUGAGUGCCAGAAUGGUCGUGAUGUUCGCAUUACGCGCACUUGUGUGUCUGUUGGUCGUAGCGUAAUUAACGUGCGCCGUUUUACCUACGUCCUUCGUGGUCUCGCAGAGCUUCCGUCGCAGGCAUUUUUGUUAACCAUUCGGCAAACCUUUAUAUUAACCAAACCCUUUGAAAACAUCUUACUAACGAAACGUUGUCUGCCCUUGGUUGUCUUCAAUGCACAAUUCUCAAGGCAUUCAAUUAUUACGAAAUGCUGAACAACUCUUAGCAACGGAUAUCUUGGUUCUC